UACGGGGGGAGCAAGCGUUGUUCGGAUUUACUGGGCGUAAAGGGCGCGUAGGCGGCCUGUGCAAGUCAGUUGUGAAAUCUCCGAGCUUAACUCGGAACGGUCAACUGAUACUGCUCGGCUAGAGUGCGGAAGGGGCAACUGGAAUUCUUGGUGUAGCGGUGAAAUGCGUAGAUAUCAAGAGGAACACCUGCGGCGAAGGCGGGUUGCUGGGCCGACACUGACGCUGAGGCGCGAAAGCUAGGGGAGCAAACGGG
rnacentral:rRNA from 1 species